ensembl:lincRNA Gm42914 predicted gene 42914
AAGUAGGAGAGCACACAUUGGGAGGCUCAACCGCCAUUUCCCUCUUGGCUCUCUAAGAGGGUGGGCAGAUCUGGAUUCUAAGCCAUUUCACAGCAAACACGCGUCUCUAACCACCAGCAUUGGCUUAAUUGGGGCUGCUUCCAAACCAGGUCCUCUCCUGCCUGCUACUUCCUAAAAAAGAAGCAAAACCACCGAGGAUUUUGCUGCAGGAUCCGAGGAAACCCCAGGCUUUGUCACUUGAGAAUGGGGUUCUCCAAAGAAACCCACGUAAGUCACUACAGACUGUUGCCAUGGGGACAGCAUACCCUCACAGGCAGCCAAAGGCAAGACUGAGGAUGGGUCAUGUGACCAGACGGCAGCCAGUGGUCCCUGGCAGUUUGAGAGAGAGAAUCCAAAAGAUGGAGAGAGUGGAAGCAUCAAAAGAUAAAACACGCAAGAGACACAGGAGAAGAGUUCUGGGGACCACAGGAGAAAGGGCAGAAAGGACAUCUGGCGAGCACGUGAAGGAAAGACAUCGCGCUAGCACGUGGAGGAGAAGACAGCGGGAGGGGGGCGGGGGGGAAGCACGCGGAGGAGAGGACAUGGGGCGAGCGCGUGGAGGAGAGGAUAUUGGACGAGCGAGGGGAGGAGAGGACAUGGGGCGAGCAGGUGGAGAAGAGGCCAUUGGGUGAGCAUGUUGAAAGAACAUCUGGCUAGCGCUUCAGCAAGAAAGACAAGCGUAGGGCAGAAGCAGCGAGCAUGAGCGAGCAGUGCGCCAAGAGAAUGAGAAGGAUGGAGAGCUGUUCCUAGCAAAACCAGGGGAAGGGGGGACCUAAUAAGAAGCAAUUAGAAGGAAAGUGAAAAGACUUAUUCUAGGAGUUUGGUGUUAAAAAGCAAAUGAAGUGGAAAUUUUGUAAGUGUUAAACUCUACCCAAAAACAGUAUGAGGGGAAAUUUUCACACAGUAUAACUUAAAACAAGU